GUGGAAUUUUUAACUGGGUGUAGAGUAUCAUUAAUUUCCUCCCAUUAGAAAAGGUACUAAAAGUGUAUGCUACUGUGAGAAAAUGGGAGAAAACCUUUCUGUCUAAUUUUUCUACCUCAGGAUAAUGUUUACAGACAUUACAGUGUUAAAAGCACUGUAAAGAAGUUUUGGUCAAGGAAUUAAGGAUCCCAGUCUACCAAUGGUGAACUAUAUCAUCAUAAUUUUAAACUAUAUUUUCCAUAUGUAAAGAGAGAUUAAAAUUUUAAAUCUCACAGCAUUAUUAUGAAGACAAUUUUAGAUAAUGAAUGUGAAAUUAUUGCAUAAAUGCAAGGAUUUAUAGCUUUGUAGGAAAGUCUGAUUACAGUUGGAUUUGCCAUAAUCAGUUAAUGUUUAACAAGU
rnacentral:lncRNA from 1 species